rnacentral:rRNA from 1 species
UUACACCAGCAGUCAUCUCUGUGAUAGAGUGUGGAUGGCCCCACCUGCCCAUGGAGGUCCGCUUGGAUACCCUCCAAAACCUAGUGGCUAAUACACGGUCGAGACAGUCUGCUACGACACGGCCUCCUGGGGUUCUGCCCUGGGUGGCCAGGCAGUGGAUUACACUCAGCUGUACUGUAAGACCCACCCCAGGAAUGGGAGUGCCUCUUGGUUGACUCAGGCUGAUCCUUGCACAGGACAACCGUGCUGGCAGAGUGGUGGUUCAUCCCACAGCAUUGCUUGAUCACACCGAGCUUCUGACUUAUCAGCUUGGAAGGUGCUUCAGAGGGUCACCUUGGCAGUAACGAGUGACGGAGAAUCAGGGUUCGAUUCCGGAGAGGGAGCCUGAGAGACGGCUACCACUGCUAAGGCGGGCAGCAGGCACGCAAAUUGCCCCAUGCCGAUGCACUUGUGAGGCAGCGACGAACUGCAGCAAUUCCACCUGUCCUCAGUGAUGGGUGGAACUUGUAAUGGAUGCAAUCCAAACACAGUGAUGAGUAUCAACUGGAGGGCAAGUCUGGUGCCAGCAGCUGCGGUAAUUCCAGCUCCAAGGGCGUAUACUAACAUUGCUGUUGUUAAAACACUUGUAGUCUGAUGCUGGGUCACAGGUCUGCUGGGUGGCAGCCUCGGGUCUCACAGCAUGUGUCCUCGGGCGUGUGGCUGGUGAUCCUGGCUGAUACAACCUCCAGCAGUAUGUCCCUGUGCCCAAGUUCAUGGCGGUGCGAAUGGCUCCUGCUCGAAGUCUCCUUCAGUGGGGAUUGAUGCGGUUGUAUACCCAGCGCUUGUGUGUUGACGCUCGAGGGGUCAGGCCCUGUGCCUGGCAUUGCCCUCAGUCCACCAUCGGAGUUCACUGCCUUUGAAACCGUGGAAAACUCAGUGUGCCCAAAGCAUCCAUCUCGGCUGGAUGUCAGUCCAUGGAAUCUCAGAGCAUUGACUGGAUAUGGCCAUGAAGUUGUGUGGGUCUUGGAGCCUAUCCCAGGGAACAUGGCACAGUUCACAGCGAGGCAGAGGCACUGCCACCUCGGUGGUGUGUCCCACCUGUGUCACUGGCGGACUGUGUCGAUCAUGCACGAUGGGACUUCUCGGGGUGAAAGAUACUGCAACGCCAGAGGUGAAAUUCUUAGACCGUUGCAAGAUCAACUGCAGCGAAGGCGUUCUGCAAGUGCAAGUUNGUCGAUCAAGAAUGUGAGUGUGGGGAGCGAAGAUGAUCAGACACCGUCGUAGUCCACAACUGUAAACCAUGCCAGCUCGGUGUUGUUGCGGCAAGUACACGGACUGCAUCAGCACCACACCCCCUACAACGAGAAAUCCAAGCCCAUGGGUUCAAGGGGGAGUACUGUCGCAAGGCUGAAACUUAAANGAAUUGACGGAAUGGCACCACAAGGCGUGGAGUAUGCGGCUUAAUUUGACUCAACACGGGGAAUGUUACCAGGUCAGGACGUUGCUGGGAUGGACAGAUUGAGAGCUCUUUCUUGAUUCUUCGGAUGGUGGUGCAUGGCCGCUCCUGAUUGGUGGAGUGAUUUGUCUGGUUGAUUCCGAUAACGAGUGAGACAUCUGCCUCCCAAUAGCCUCAGCCUCGCAAUUGUAGGGUGGCCUCUGUGGGUCGCUGCCUGGUUCGCCUUGCAGUCCCUAAGUGGCUCACCCGAGAGGCCUGAGAUCAGCUUCUCUGAGGUGCUGUACACGCUGCCAAGUGUAUGCAUGCUAGAGCCAACAGCAGGUCUGUGAUGCUCCCAGAUGUCCUGGGCCGCACGCGCACUACAUUGGCCCGAUGACUAUGUGAUCUCGCUCUGUGAGUCCUGCCUGGAAGUGGGUGGGAAACCCUUGGAGCCUGUCCUGGCCGUACUGGGGAUAGAUGAUUGCAACUGUCUGCCUUCAACGAGGAAUGCCUAGUAAGCGUGGGUCAUCAGCCCGCACUGAUU